rnacentral:rRNA from 1 species
UCCGUUGGGGCGUGCUAUACAUGCAAGUCGAGCGGACAGAUGGGAGCUUGCUCCCUGAUGUUAGCGGCGGACGGGUGAGUAACACGUGGGUAACCUGCCUGUAAGACUGGGAUAACUCCGGGAAACCGGGGCUAAUACCGGAUGGUUGUCUGAACCGCAUGGUUCAGACAUAAAAGGUGGCUUCGGCUACCACUUACAGAUGGACCCGCGGCGCAUUAGCUAGUUGGUGAGGUAACGGCUCACCAAGGCGACGAUGCGUAGCCGACCUGAGAGGGUGAUCGGCCACACUGGGACUGAGACACGGCCCAGACUCCUACGGGAGGCAGCAGUAGGGAAUCUUCCGCAAUGGACGAAAGUCUGACGGAGCAACGCCGCGUGAGUGAUGAAGGUUUUCGGAUCGUAAAGCUCUGUUGUUAGGGAAGAACAAGUGCCGUUCAAAUAGGGCGGCACCUUGACGGUACCUAACCAGAAAGCCACGGCUAACUACGUGCCAGCAGCCGCGGUAAUACGUAGGUGGCAAGCGUUGUCCGGAAUUAUUGGGCGUAAAGGGCUCGCAGGCGGUUUCUUAAGUCUGAUGUGAAAGCCCCCGGCUCAACCGGGGAGGGUCAUUGGAAACUGGGGAACUUGAGUGCAGAAGAGGAGAGUGGAAUUCCACGUGUAGCGGUGAAAUGCGUAGAGAUGUGGAGGAACACCAGUGGCG